AUUGAACGCUGGCGGCAGGCCUAACACAUGCAAGUCGAGCGGUAGAGAGAAGCUUGCUUCUCUUGAGAGCGGCGGACGGGUGAGUAAUGCCUAGGAAUCUGCCUGGUAGUGGGGGAUAACGUUCGGAAAAGGACGCUAAUACCGCAUACGUUCUACGGGAGAAAGCAGGGGACCUUUGGGCCUUGCGCUAUCAGAUGAGCCUAGGUCGGAUUAGCUAGUUGGUGGGGUAAUGGCUCACCAAGGCGACGAUCCGUAACUGGUCUGAGAGGAUGAUCAGUCACACUGACACUGAGACACGGUCCAGACUCCUACGGGAGGCAGCAGUAGGGAAGAUUGGACAAGGGGCGAAAGCCUGAUCCAGCCGUGCCGCGUGUGUGAAGAAGGUCUUCGGAUUGUAAAGCUCUUUAAGUUGGGAGGAAGGGCAGUUGCCUAAUACGUAACUGUGUUGACGUUACCGACAGAAUAAGCACCGGCUAACUCUGUG
rnacentral:rRNA from 1 species